rnacentral:lncRNA from 1 species
ACAAGAUUUUUCUUGUAAAGCAUAUGAGUACUUUGUGUCACAUGAGAAGUUGCCAAGACAAAGCACCAAGUAACAAACAUUAACUUAAACCUGCAACUUCUGAAAUUAUGACAUAAAAUUAACCAUCCAUUUAUUUAACUAAAAUGACUGCAUGCUUGAUCAAAUUUACUAAACUAGGUUGUUUUAGACCCAGCUUGCAAUUGGAGUCCACCAAAUAUGGAAGACAUGGGCCCACAUAGUUCUAAAACAUGUGGACAUUGGCCAGGGAAAAUUAGAAGACGGAGGUAAGACAAUGUGAAGAUAUAAGGAGAAGGCCGUGGGAACAUGAAAAUGGUCAUCUACAAACCAGGGAGAGGUGUCUGGGACAGAUCCCUCCCUCACAGCCCUCAGAAGGAACCAACUCUGCCAACGUCUUAGUUUUGAACUUCUAGCCUCCAGAACUGGGAGACAAUAAAUUUUUGUUGUUUAAGCCACCCAGUCCAUGGUGCUUUGUUACGGCAGCCCUAACAAAUGAAAACACAGACCUUCCAUCACUGAGAAAGACAAGAGGUACAAAGCUAACCAUGUUUCCGUAUCAUAACUCUGAGACUGGGAACCUGCUGGAAGGUAAAUCAUGGAAUUUGUUCUAGGUGACUGAAAUCCAAUGGGUAGGCUUUACUAGGACUAAAGAAAACAAAUUACUAAAAUAUGCUCUUAACCAAACCAUUCAUUUUAUUACAAAAAUAAUACAAUUGUAGUAUUCUGUUACUCCAAUUCUGGUAUUUUUCUCUACAAAUUUUUAUUUAUUGAGAAUUUAUAUUCCUAAUCAGAAUUUAUAUUCUGAAUUUUUAUUCAGAAUACCACCACCUGAUAAAUAAAUGUUGUGAUUUUUGUGUUUACUCUUUGUUCUGAUCUCGGUGCAUACUUCAUUUCUCUUAGAUGUCAUCAUAAUAUAGAAGCAAUUUUGUAGUUUGAUUUUCCCCUUUAACAGAAGUUCUCAACCAGGAACGUUUUCCCCACCCCCACGCACAG